GAUGAACGCUGGCGGCGUGCCUAAUACAUGCAAGUCGAGCGAACGGACGAGAAGCUUGCUUCUCUGAUGUUAGCGGCGGACGGGUGAGUAACACGUGGAUAACCUACCUAUAAGACUGGGAUAACUUCGGGAAACCGGAGCUAAUACCGGAUAAUAUUUUGAACCGCAUGGUUCAAAAGUGAAAGACGGUCUUGCUGUCACUUAUAGAUGGAUCCGCGCUGCAUUAGCUAGUUGGUAAGGUAACGGCUUACCAAGGCAACGAUGCAUAGCCGACCUGAGAGGGUGAUCGGCCACACUGGAACUGAGACACGGUCCAGACUCCUACGGGAGGCAGCAGUAGGGAAUCUUCCGCAAUGGGCGAAAGCCUGACGGAGCAACGCCGCGUGAGUGAUGAAGGUCUUCGGGUCGUAAAACUCUGUUAUUAGGGAAGAACAUAUGUGUAAGUAACUGUGCACAUCUUGACGGUACCUAAUCAGAAAGCCACGGCUAACUACGUGCCAGCAGCCGCGGUAAUACGUAGGUGGCAAGCGUUAUCCGGAAUUAUUGGGCGUAAAGCGCGCGUAGGCGGUUUUUUAAGUCUGAUGUGAAAGCCCACGGCUCAACCGUGGAGGGUCAUUGGAAACUGGAAAACUUGAGUGCAGAAGAGGAAAGUGGAAUUCCAUGUGUAGCGGUGAAAUGCGCAGAGAUAUGGAGGAACACCAGUGGCGAAGGCGACUUUCUGGUCUGUAACUGACGCUGAUGUGCGAAAGCGUGGGGAUCAAACAGGAUUAGAUACCCUGGUAGUCCACGCCGUAAACGAUGAGUGCUAAGUGUUAGGGGGUUUCCGCCCCUUAGUGCUGCAGCUAACGCAUUAAGCACUCCGCCUGGGGAGUACGACCGCAAGGUUGAAACUCAAAGGAAUUGACGGGGACCCGCACAAGCGGUGGAGCAUGUGGUUUAAUUCGAAGCAACGCGAAGAACCUUACCAAAUCUUGACAUCCUUUGACAACUCUAGAGAUCGAGCCUUCCCCUUCGGGGGACAAAGUGACAGGUGGUGCAUGGUUGUCGUCAGCUCGUGUCGUGAGAUGUUGGGUUAAGUCCCGCAACGAGCGCAACCCUUAAGCUUAGUUGCCAUCAUUAAGUUGGGCACUCUAAGUUGACUGCCGGUGACAAACCGGAGGAAGGUGGGGAUGACGUCAAAUCAUCAUGCCCCUUAUGAUUUGGGCUACACACGUGCUACAAUGGACAAUACAAAGGGCAGCGAAACCGCGAGGUCAAGCAAAUCCCAUAAAGUUGUUCUCAGUUCGGAUUGUAGUCUGCAACUCGACUACAUGAAGCUGGAAUCGCUAGUAAUCGUAGAUCAGCAUGCUACGGUGAAUACGUUCCCGGGUCU
rnacentral:rRNA from 1 species